UGCCGCGUGAAUGAUGAAGGUCUUAGGAUUGUAAAAUUCUUUUAGCAGGGACGAUAAUGACGGUACCUGCAGAAAAAGCCCCGGCUAACUUCGUGCCAGCAGCCGCGGUAAUACGAAGGGGGCUAGCGUUGCUCGGAAUUACUGGGCGUAAAGGGAGCGUAGGCGGGUUAUCAAGUUGGAGGUGAAAGCCCAGGGCUCAACCUUGGAAUUGCCUUCAAAACUGAUAAUCUUGAGUAUGGGAGAGGUAAGCGGAACUCCGAGUGUAGAGGUGAAAUUCGUAGAUAUUCGGAAGAACACCAGUGGCGAAGGCGGCUUACUGGCCCAUUACUGACGCUGAGGCUCGAAAGCGUGGGGAGCAAACAGGAUUAGAUACCCUGGUAGUCCACGCUGUAAACGAUGAUUGCUAGUUGUCGGGCAGUAUACUGUUCGGUGACGCAGCUAACGCAUUAAGCAAUCCGCCUGGGGAGUA
rnacentral:rRNA from 1 species